rnacentral:rRNA from 1 species
CCUGCCCCCUGAAAAUUUUAAAGGGCCGCGGUAUCUGAACCGUGCUAAGGUAGCAUAAUAAAUAGUCUUUUAAUUGAGGUCUAGUAUGAAUGGUCGGACAUGAAGUAAUCUGUUUCAGUCGCAACAGUUGAAUUUUACUUUUAAGUGAAAAGGCUUAGAUUGAGUGGUGGGACGAUAAGACCCUAUAAAGCUUUACAUUCUACUCGUUAGUUGAAGAAAUUAUAGUUUUCUAUUCUUGUUGAGUAUGAGUGUUUCGUUGGGGCGACGAGAAUAUAAAGUGGUAACUGUUUUUGGCCAAAAAAUAGAUUUCUUUAGGAGUGUUGAUCCUUUAUAGAGAUUAUAAGAAUAAAGUUACUUUAGGGAUAACAGCGUAAUUCUUUUUGAGAGUUCAUAUCGACGAGAGUAGUUGCGACCUCGAUGUUGAAUUAAGAUACCCCUAAGGUGUAGCAGUUUUAGUGGUAGGUCUGUUCGACCUUUAAAAUCUUACAUGAUUUGAGUUCAGACCGGCGUG